rnacentral:rRNA from 1 species
UAGGGAAUCUUCGGCAAUGGACGGAAGUCUGACCGAGCAACGCCGCGUGAGUGAAGAAGGUUUUCGGAUCGUAAAGCUCUGUUGUCAGAGAAGAACGUUGGUAGGAGUGGAAAAUCUACCAAGUGACGGUAACUAACCAGAAAGGGACGGCUAACUACGUGCCAGCAGCCGCGGUAAUACGUAGGUCCCGAGCGUUGUCCGGAUUUAUUGGGCGUAAAGCGAGCGCAGCCGGUUCUUUAAGUCUGAAGUUAAAGGCAGUGGCUUAACCAUUGUACGCUUUGGAAACUGAAGGACUUGAGUGCAGAAGGGGAGAGUGGAAUUCCAUGUGUAGCGGUGAAAUGCGUAAAUAUAUGGAGGAACACCGGUGGCGAAGGCGGCUCUCUGGUCUGUAACUGACGCUGAGGCUCGAAAGCGUGGGGAGCAAACAGG